rnacentral:rRNA from 2 species
UGGGGAAUUUUGGACAAUGGGCGAAAGCCUGAUCCAGCAAUGCCGCGUGUGUGAAGAAGGCCUUCGGGUUGUAAAGCACUUUUGUCCGGAAAGAAAUGGCUCUGGUUAAUACCUGGGGUCGAUGACGGUACCGGAAGAAUAAGGACCGGCUAACUACGUGCCAGCAGCCGCGGUAAUACGUAGGGUCCAAGCGUUAAUCGGAAUUACUGGGCGUAAAGCGUGCGCAGGCGGUUGUGCAAGACCGAUGUGAAAUCCCCGAGCUUAACUUCGGAAUUGCAUUGGUGACUGCACGGCUAGAGUGUGUCAGAGGGGGGUAGAAUUCCACGUGUAGCAGUGAAAUGCGUAGAGAUGUGGAGGAAUACCGAUGGCGAAGGCAGCCCCCUGGGAUAACACUGACGCUCAUGCACGAAAGCGUGGGGAGCAAACAGG